UUUACAGAUAUGGUGUCACUCCAUUCACUCCAGUGAAAGGGAUGCUUAUUCAGGGACCUCUGUCCAUCUGCUUUUUUCUUGCUAUUCAAAAUAUGGCAGAGAAGGUACCUUCAUUCCAAACAGGAGGUUGGUGAAAACCCAUUGUAGACAUCAAUCCAAGUAAGUAAACUACUCAAUUGGUCAAGAUUGUACAUGAUGAGCUACUGAAAUUGAUGGGUGGAGGAGAAAGUAUCUGAGCUACCAGCAUUUCAGCUUCUCUCUCUCCACGACAAAUCCCUUUUGUAUGGAGAUAUCUCGACAAAGACCAGCUCAUAUGCUCGCCUUAUUAAGAUAGAAUCAUUCCAAACCUUUUUGCUAAUGUAGAUGCCGAGGAGUUAUCUGGAUCAAGUACUACGGAGGUUUGUGCAGGGAAACCGGAUUGGAUCUUUGAAUCAUAACACGCUUUUGGAUCCUCUCAAUGGAGAACUCAG